UACGAAGGGGGCUAGCGUUGUUCGGAAUCACUGGGCGUAAAGCGCACGCAGGCGGAUUGUUAAGUCAGGGGUGAAAUCCCGAGGCUCAACCUCGGAACUGCCUUUGAUACUGGCAAUCUUUGAGUCCGGGAGAGGUGAGUGGAACUCCGAGUGUAGAGGUGAAAUUCGUAGAUAUUCGGAAGAACACCAGUGGCGAAGGCGGCUCACUGGCCCGUUACUGACGCUCAGGUGCGAAAGCUUGGGGAGCAAUCAGG
rnacentral:rRNA from 1 species